UUUUCAUAUGUUGAAGGCAUAAUGCAUGUGUAUUGAACAAAACUAAAACCAAAGCAAUGCAGAAGUUCUAUAAAACAGAGAGGGCUAUGUUCUGCUCUUUCCUGCAUGCACACAGCACACAUGCAUGCACAGUAUAUAUACACACGCAUGCAUGGUAUACAUACACACAGAGCACAUGCACACGACAUAGACACAGCAACAUGCAUGGCACAUCCCACACAUAUGCACUGCACACACCACAUGCAUGCAUAGCAUGCACACACACAUGCGCACACACAAAUACUCAUGCAUCUGCAAAGAAAGAGAAAACGAAAGAUUCUCAUAGAAAAAAAUAUUUUUUUAAGAUUUUAAAAAAAUAUUUUAAUUUAUUUAUUCAUGAUAGAGAGAGAGACAGACAGAGAGGCAGAGACACAGGCAGAGUGAGAAGCAGGCUCUACGCAGGGAGCCCAACGCAGGACCCGAUCCUGGGAUACCAGGAUCACGCCCUGGGCGGAAGGCAGGCGCUCAAACUGCUGAGCCACCCAGGCUGCCCAAAAAAAGAGAAGUUUCAGGGCACCUGGGGGGCUCCAUCAGUGAAGCGUCUGCCUUGGGCUCAGGUCAUGAUCCUGGGGUCCCAGGUUCAGGCUCACUACCUAGUGGGGAGUCUGCUUCUCUCUGCUCCUCCCGCUGCUCUUGCUCACUUGCUCUCUCUCUCUCAGAUACAUAAACAAAAUCUUUAAAAAGAAAUAAAUUAAAAAUAAGAGACAAGCUUAUCUUUAUGACUCUAACUGAAUUCUUACAGUUUUCACUCUUGUUUCUUUCUGGAUGUGACACAAAACACAUUUAAUUUUUGAGCUGUACUCCUGGUAUUUUCUUACAACUUGACACCACUAUUUUGUAUCAUUUUUCAGCCACUUAUAAAUUUGCCUUGUGAACUGUGUGGUUUAGGAAAGACAAUUUCUGUGAAAUGCUAUCUGGUAGGGGAAAAAUUAACAAUUCAUUUGUUAAUAAAAUGCUUGUGGGAAAUUUUCCUGAAAGAAGAUGAAAUAUUGACAGUGAUGUGAAUACUUUGUGACUGGAUUAUAACAGGUACAGAGAUUAAAGCAGCGCUGAAAUCUUGGUGGAAAUCAAGUUCGACUACAGCAGAGGCAUGAGGGCAGAGCAGUGGUAACGAGGCCCGGGUGGCGUGGCAUCAUCUCGUGGACACCCGGGACCUCAAGGCACAGCAGGGACACAGACCCCAGGCAGAAGGAAAUCCCGCACGUGGGGAGGGAGGACCCCAGUCACUGUCACUGGGACCUCACAGUCACCAGCAGUGAACUGGGAAAUAACCGCCUUUCUCUUCACGUGGACAUUAUUGCUGUCACUGUGUGUAGACACUGACGGACUCAGAACAUGGCCUGUGAGUGUAGGAGCACGGGACUCCUGGGCUCUGGCACCUCCACCCACACAUGAUGAAUACCCAGGAGGAGGUGAGGAGACCUGCCCCCAUGGCGAGGAUGGCAGCUUCCCCGCCUGCAAACACUCAUCCUCAAUCCAGCAGUCUGGCCUCCUCUCACUUCCCAUCAUGCUCUUAUUUCUCAAAACAUAAAAGACUGAUGGAGAGUGAGGCUUGCUGUAUUGUUUGGCUGAGCAGCGGCUUCCCUAUUGCCAUGGCAGCCCAGCAUCCCUGGGCCCAGCAUGCCCGGCCUCAGCAUCCCCGGGCCCAGCAUGCCCAGGCCCAGCAUCCCCAGGCUCAAUAUCCCCAGGCUCAGCAUCUCCGGCCUCAGCAUCCCCGGGCUCAGCAUCCCCAGGCCCAGCAUCCCCGACUUCAGCAUCCCUGGGCCCAGCAUCCGUGGGCUCAACAUCCCCAGGCUCAGCAUCCCCGGCUCUCAACAUCCCUGGGCUCAGCAUCCUCGGGCUCAGCAUCCCCAGCUCUCCC
rnacentral:lncRNA from 1 species